AUGGGAGCUUUCCCUUCACCGCCCCCAUGGGGGUGGUCCACAAGGUUCAUAACUACCCCUCUUACUACGGGGCGUUUACCUAGCCAACACUUAGAUCCGGCUCUACCCAAACUUUUUUGGUUCACCCCAACAUUACCCACUUGUCCGACUGUUGCUAAGCAGUUUUGGGAUACUAAACGGACCUCCCCAGAUGGUAAUCUUAAAGUGGCCGAUUUACCCUCUUUUGCAAUGAAUUUUGCUACAACACCUGCUGCUCUAGCUAAUUGCCCACCCCUUCCACGCGUGAUUUCUAUGUUAUGCAUGGCCGUGCCUAAGGGAAUAUCAGUUGAAGUAGAUUCUUCUUUUCUCUCAAAAACCCCCUUCCCAAACUAUACAAGCUUCUUCCAAAGCAUACGGCUUUCUAGAUGUAUAUGA
rnacentral:rRNA from 1 species